AUGGUGGGGCGGAUGGGGAGCGACGCGCACCUCUGGGACGAUCCUGACGACGCCUCCGCCCCGGCCCUCCUCGAUCGUCUCAGUUCACCUUUCCUGGCAGCGCUCGGACUGAUUUAUGGUCAAGAUUUGGCGGCAUGGUCGCCGGAGAGUGGUCGCAGCGUGCGAAAUGGCCAAUGGGAGAGGUGGCUAGAAGAGAUAUUGACCCUGAGGCAGAGCAUCCUCUGUUCCCUCACAUCAGGGGGUGCCGGCUCCGGUGGCUCGGCAUCAUCUCCUCAAAAACUGACAGACGGUGCUUCUUCGAUGGCUGACAGACAGCUAGGCUGA
rnacentral:rRNA from 1 species